UAAUACGGAGGGUGCAAGCGUUAAUCGGAAUUACUGGGCGUAAAGCGCACGCAGGCGGUUUGUUAAGUCAGAUGUGAAAUCCCCGGGCUCAACCUGGGAACUGCAUUUGAAACUGGCAAGCUAGAGUCUCGUAGAGGGGGGUAGAAUUCCAGGUGUAGCGGUGAAAUGCGUAGAGAUCCGGAGGAAUACCGGUGGCGAAGGCGGCCCCCUGGACGAAGACUGACGCUCAGGUGCGAAAGCGUGGGGAGCAAACAGGAUUAGAUACCCUGGUAGUCCACGCUGUAAACGAUGUCGAUUUGGAGGUUGUGCCCUUGAGGCGUGGCUUCCGGAGCUAACGCGUUAAAUCGACCGCCUGGGGAGUACGGUCGCAAGAUUA
rnacentral:rRNA from 1 species